rnacentral:rRNA from 1 species
CCUACGUGAGGCAGCAGUGGGGAAUAUUGCACAAUGGGGGAAACCCUGAUGCAGCGACGCCGCGUGAGGGAAGAAGUAAUUCGUUAUGUAAAGCUCUAUCAGCCGGGAAGAAAAUGACGGUACUUGAGUCAGAAGCCCCGGCUAACUACGUGCCAGCAGCCGCGGUAAUACGGAGGGGGCAAGAGUUAUCCGGAUUUACUGGGUGUAAAGGGGGCGUAGACGGGAGUGCAAGUCUGGAGGUAAAGGCGGGGGCUCAACCCCCGGACUGCUGUGGAAACGGUACGGCUGGAGUGCAGGAGAGGUACGUGGAAUUCGUAGUGUAGCGGUGAAAUGCAUAGAUAUUACGCAGAACACCAGUUGCGAAGGCAGCUUACUGGACUGUAACUGACGUUGAGGCACGAAAGCGUGGGGAGCAAACAGGAUUAGAUACCCCAGUAGUC